rnacentral:rRNA from 1 species
AAGCCCCGGCUAACUACGUGCCAGCAGCCGCGGUAAUACGUAGGGGCGAGCGUUGUCCGGAAUUACUGGGCGUAAAGAGUACGUAGGCGGUUCUGUAAGCGCAGGUGAAAGGCAACGGCUUAACCGUUGUCAGCCGUGCGAACUGCAGGACUUGAGUGCAGGAAGGAAAGCGGAAUUCCUGGUGUAGCGGUGAAAUGCGUAGAUAUCAGGAGGAACACCGGUGCGAAGGCGGCUUUCUGGACUGUAACUGACGCUGAGGUACGAAAGCGUGGGGAGCAAACAGAUUAGAUACCCUGGUAGUCCACGCCGUAAACGAUGAGUAUUAGGUGUCGGGGCCGCAUGGUUCGGUGCCGCAGUUAACGCAAUAAAUACUCCGCCUGGGGAGUACGCACGCAAGUGUGAACUCAAAGGAAUUGACGGGGACCCGCACAAGCAGCGGAGCAUGUGGUUUAAUUCGAAGCAAGCGAAGAACCUUACCAAGGCUUGACAUCCUUCUGACAGGACCUUAACCGGUCCCUUCUUCGACAGAAGUGACAGGUGGUGCAUGGUUGUCGUCAGCUCGUGUCGUGAGAUGUUGGGUUAAUCCCGCAACGAGCGCAACCCUUGUCGUCAGUUACUAACAUUCAGUUGAGGACUCUAAUGAACUGCCGUGGAUAACACGGAGGAAGGUGGGGAUGACGUCAAAUCAUCAUGCCCCUUAUGCUUGGGCUACACACGUGCUACAAUGGUCGGUACAAAGAGAAGCGAGACAGCGAUGUGGAGCAAUCUCAAAAGCCGAUCCCAGUUCGGAUUGCAGGCUGCAACUCGCCUGCAUGAAGUCGGAUUGCUAGUAAUCGUGGAUCAGAAUGCCACGGUGAAUGCGUUCCCGGGUCUUGUACACACCCCG